UUCUCUGGUUUUAAAAAAUAAAUUUUGAUUUAUUUUAGUCUUCCGUUGUAUGAUCUUGAAAAUGUUUCAAGAUCUAACCCUGAAACCCUAGAUCUGGUUCCUUCAAUUGGUAUCAGAGCCUAGAUUCUUUAUUACAUGAUUAUUUAUACAUGCUUAGAUUAUUUUUUAGAUUAGAUCUAAUUUAUAAUCUGAUUAUUAAAUCUAAAAUUAAAAUUUUAAAUCAAUCACGAACUGCAAGGUUGUCCUACUGUAAGGUUUACCCCUUACAGUGCAAAGGUUGUCCUAGUUUGUGUAGAUCUAUCUUUAAUCAUAAAUUUGUUAGAUAUAAUCUAGAUUAAAUUUGUUGGUGCAAAAAUCUGCUCGCACCAGAGAAGCUAGAGUCGGAGAAGCCG
rnacentral:lncRNA from 1 species